rnacentral:rRNA from 1 species
GCAGCCGCGGUAAUUCCAGCUCCAAUAGCGUAUAUUAAAGUUGUUGCAGUUAAAAAGCUCGUAGUUGAAUUUCGGGAUCAGUAUGUUGGUCGUGCUUCGGUACGUACUGUCAUUACUGGUUUCUACCUUCUGAAGAACCUUGAUGUCAUUAAUUUGGUGUCUUGGGGAAUCAGGACUGUUACUUUGAAAAAAUUAGAGUGUUUAAAGCAAGCAUACGCUUGAAUACAUUAGCAUGGAAUAAUGAAAUAGGACGUUUGAUUCUAUUUUGUUGGUUUCUAGGAUCGACGUAAUGAUUAAUAGGGAUAGUUGGGGGCAUUAGUAUUCAAUUGUCAGAGGUGAAAUUCUUGGAUUUAUUGAAGACUAACUACUGCGAAAGCAUUUGCCAAGGAUGUUUUCAUUAAUCAAGAACGAAAGUUAGGGGAUCGAAGACGAUCAGAUACCGUCGUAGUCUUAACCAUAAACUAUGCCGACUAGGGAUCGGAUGAUGUUAAUUUUUUAAUGACUCAUUCGGCGCCUUACGGG